rnacentral:rRNA from 1 species
GACGAACCGUGCGAGCGUUGCUCGGAAUCACUGGGCGUAAAGGGUGCGUAGGCGGGUCUUUAAGUCAGGGGGUGAAAUCCUGGAGCUCAACUCCCAGAACUGCCUUUGAUACUGAAGAUCUUGAGUUCGGGGAGAGGGUGAGUGGGAACUGCGAGUGUAGAGGGGUGAAAAUUCGUAGAUAUUCGCAAGAAACACCCAGUGGGCGAAGGGCGGGCUCACCU